rnacentral:rRNA from 1 species
CAGUCGCCGCGGGAAUACGUAGGUGGCAAGCGUUGUCCGGAAUUAUUGGGCGUAAAGGGCUCGCAGGCGGUUUCUUAAGUCUGAUGUGAAAGCCCCCGGCUCAACCGGGGAGGGUCAUUGGAAACUAGGAAACUUAAGUGCAGAAGAGGAGAGUGGAAUUCCACGUGUAGCGGUGAAAUGCGUAGAGAUGUGGAGGAACACCAGUGGCGAAGGCGACUCUCUGGUCUGUAACUGACGCUGAGGAGCGAAAGCGUGGGGAGCGAACAGGAUUAGAUACCCCUGUAGUCCCUGUCUCUUAUAC